rnacentral:rRNA from 1 species
CAACCCUGAUCCAGCCAUGCCGCGUGAGUGAUGAAGGCCUUAGGGGUCGUAAAGCUCUUUCGCCUGUGAUGAUAAUGACAGUAGCAGGUAAAGAAACCCCGGCUAACUCCGUGCCAGCAGCCGCGGUAAUACGGAGGGGGUUAGCGUUGUUCGGAAUUACUGGGCGUAAAGCGCGCGUAGGCGGAUUAGUCAGUUAGAGGUGAAAUCCCCAGGCUCAACCCCUGGAACUGCCUUUAAUACUGCUAGUCUUGAGUUCGAGAGAGGUGAGUGGAAUUCCGAGUGUAGAGGUGAAAUUCGUAGAUAUUCGGAGGAACACCAGUGGCGAAGGCGGCUCACUGGCUCGAUACUGACGCUGAGGUGCGAAAGUGUGGGGAGCAAACAGGAUUAGAUACCCUGGUAG